GCAAUUUUCUACCAUCUAGAAGACUCCAGAAGCCACGGGAAGGAAGCGGAGGCCGAACGGGGUAUAGCUGCAACGGGUUCGGUUCGACCCACUUCUGAAGUCGACCCGCACCUGGAAUUAGCCAGUGGACCAAAUCGGAUCGACCCAGAGCAGAAGAGGAGCAAAAGGGUCGUGACCCUAUCGACCCCCGGUGACCCUCGGGUCGACCCUGCGACUCGCCUCAUAGCUGCAGCUGCUCACCGCCGCUGCCACCCUCCUCCGCCAUUGCCGUCGCUGCCGCCGCCACCCCGUCCUCCUCCUCCUUCUCCACCACUUCCCUUACCCUACCCUGGAUGUACCACUCGUCUCUUCUGCCCGUCGCGGAUCUGGCGAGUUGCCUUCUCCAUCCGUAUCGCCAAGGAAGAGGAAGCAGAGGAGCAGCGCCGCCGCCUUGUUCUUGGUGGCCAUGUCGUUCGUCGUCGUCUGCUGUGCGGCUGAUCAGAGAAAGGCUGGAUAGCCGGCCGGGGAGAUUUCAGGCCGGGACACCAACGCGCCGCCGUCGGAUGCGGACGGAACAGGACUUCUACUUCUACAAGAGGAACAAUUGGAGGAGAAACACAUGAUGCUGAUGAUCUGUAUAAAAUUUUAGUAAAGGGAGACCCAUUUCACCUGUACUAAAUCAUAUGCCUGAAUGGGAAGAAGUGUUCUUGUUUGAAUGAGAAGAAGGUGCUAGUCCUUGUGA